rnacentral:rRNA from 1 species
GAUGAACGCUGGCGGCGUGCCUAAUACAUGCAAGUCGAGCGAACAGACGAGGAGCUUGCUCCUCUGACGUUAGCGGCGGACGGGUGAGUAACACGUGGAUAACCUACCUAUAAGACUGGGAUAACUUCGGGAAACCGGAGCUAAUACCGGAUAAUAUAUUGAACCGCAUGGUUCAAUAGUGAAAGACGGUUUUGCUGUCUCUUAUAGAUGGAUCCGCGCCGCAUUAGCUAGUUGGUAAGGUAACGGCUUACCAAGGCAACGAUGCGUAGCCGACCUGAGAGGGUGAUCGGCCACACGGGAACGGAGACACGGUCCAGACUCCUACGGGAGGCAGCAGUAGGGAAUCUUCCGCAAUGGGCGAAAGCCUGACGGAGCAACGCCGCGUGAGUGAUGAAGGUCUUCGGAUCGUAAAACUCUGUUAUUAGGGAAGAACAAAUGUGUAAGUAACUAUGCACGUCUUGACGGUACCUAAUCAGAAAGCCACGGCUAACUACGUG